rnacentral:rRNA from 1 species
AAUAGAUACCCGGGUAGUCCACGCCGUAAACGAUGAGUGCUAAGUGUUAGAGGGUUUCCGCCCUUUAGUGCUGCAGCUAACGCAUUAAGCACUCCGCCUGGGGAGUACGGCCGCAAGGCUGAAACUCAAAGGAAUUGACGGGGGCCCGCACAAGCGGUGGAGCAUGUGGUUUAAUUCGAAGCAACGCGAAGAACCUUACCAGGUCUUGACAUCCUCUGACAACCCUAGAGAUAGGGCUUUCCCCUUCGGGGGACAGAGUGACAGGUGGUGCAUGGUUGUCGUCAGCUCGUGUCGUGAGAUGUUGGGUUAAGUCCCACAACGAGCGCAACCCUUGAUCUUAGUUGCCAGCAUUCAGUUGGGCACUCUAAGGUGACUGCCGGUGACAAACCGGAGGAAGGUGGGGAUGACGUCAAAUCAUCAUGCCCCUUAUGACCUGGGCUACACACGUGCUACAAUGGAUGGUACAAAGGGCUGCAAACCUGCGAAGGUAAGCGAAUCCCAUAAAGCCAUUCUCAGUUCGGAUUGCAGG